rnacentral:rRNA from 1 species
UUAACUGAAGAGUUUGAUCAUGGCUCAGAUUGAACGCUGGCGGCAGGCCUAACACAUGCAAGUCGAGCGGAAACGAUCCUAGCUUGCUAGGAGGCGUCGAGCGGCGGACGGGUGAGUAACACGUGAGAAUC